UACGAAGGGGGCUAGCGUUGUUCGGAUUUACUGGGCGUAAAGCGCACGUAGGCGGAUUGUUAAGUGAGAGGUGAAAUCCCAGAGCUCAACUCUGGAACUGCCUUUGAUACUGGCAAGCUCGAGUCCGGAAGAGGUAAGUGGAACUCCUAGUGUAGAGGUGGAAUUCGUAGAUAUUAGGAAGAACACCAGUGGCGAAGGCGGCUUACUGGUCCGGAACUGACGCUGAGGUGCGAAAGCGUGGGGAGCAAACAGG
rnacentral:rRNA from 1 species